rnacentral:rRNA from 1 species
GACGAACGCUGGCGGCGUGCUUAACACAUGCAAGUCGAACGGAAAGGCCCUGCUUUUGUGGGGUGCUCGAGUGGCGAACGGGUGAGUAACACGUGAGUAACCUGCCCUUGACUUUGGGAUAACUUCAGGAAACUGGGGCUAAUACCGGAUAGGAGCUCCUGCUGCAUGGUGGGGGUUGGAAAGUUUCGGCGGUUGGGGAUGGACUCGCGGCUUAUCAGCUUGUUGGUUGGGUAGUGGCUUACCAAGGCUUUGACGGGUAGCCGGGCUGAGAGGGGGACCGGCCAAAUUGGGACUGAGAUGCGGCCCAGACUACUACGGGAGGCAGCAGUGGGGAAGAUUGCACAAGGGGCGGAAGCCUGAUGCAGCAACGCCGCGUGCGGGAUGACGGCCUUCGGGUUGGAAACCGCUUUCGCCUGUGACGAAGCGUGAGUGACGGUAAUGGGUAAAGAAGCACCGGCUAACUACGUG